CCUACGGGCGGCUGCAGUGGGGAAUAUUGGACAAUGGGGGGAACCCUGAUCCAGCCAUGCCGCGUGUGUGAAGAAGGCCCUCGGGUUGUAAAGCACUUUCAGUGAGGAAGAACGCCUGGUGGUUAAUACCCAUCAGGAAAGACAUCACUCACAGAAGAAGCACCGGCUAACUCCGUGCCAGCAGCCGCGGUAAUACGGAGGGUGCGAGCGUUAAUCGGAAUUACUGGGCGUAAAGCGCGCGUAGGUGGCUUGAUAAGCCGGUUGUGAAAGCCCCGGGCUCAACCUGGGAAUGGCAUCCGGAACUGUCAAGCUAGAGUGCAGGAGAGGAAGGUAGAAUUCCCGGUGUAGCGGUGAAAUGCGUAGAGAUCGGGAGGAAUACCAGUGGCGAAGGCGGCCUUCUGGACUGACACUGACACUGAGGUGCGAAAGCGUGGGUAGCAAACAGGAUUAGAUACCCCGGUAGUC
rnacentral:rRNA from 1 species